UAUCUAUCUGAAUUCAGAUUAAUUUCAAAGUGACUCUUAGUUUACUAAUAGUAUUUUAUGCAGGUUAAAUGUCACAUUUGUUCGACAGAACUUUCCUAUUUGAACAAAACUAACUCAUAGUGUGUUGACCCCAAGAACAAGACCCCAGAUUUAAAUCACCCUGGUUCCUCCAAGUGCAAUGAGGGCAUCAGUAGACUGCAGUCAGAACAGCAGCUGUCUACACCCACUUCAGACAUGUUAUUUAGCGUUGUUUCUUGUUGUUUGGAAAUCAACUAAAAUUCCAGUUUGUUGUUUCUAGAUAACCUUUGGCAAGAUCUCCUCAUUGCAGUGGGCAGAGAGACCAAAUUUGUUUAAAAAAAAAGGCAUCCUCAUUCACAACAUGUUAACUUAGAUUUUCAUGUUAUGAUACAUGUCCACUUUAUCGACUGCAUCUAAAAAUAUCAAUUUUAAAUUUAAAUAUAUAUAAUUCAAAUGAAAAAAUACUAUGUAACAUACAAUGGCUUAAAUUAUAUUAUUGUAUAUAUUUGGUCAUCAAACCAGUGUCAGAUGAGUCCGUCAACUAUUACCUGUAGGGAUUUUUAAGGUCCAGCAGGUGUCAGUAUUCAGUGACACAGUAUCGGCACAGUAUCAAUACAGUAGGAUCAGGCGGUCUCAAGGUCAUAAAACAGGCAAAGUAGUUAUCAGACAGACUCGGUCGACAAGGCAGGCAAGGAUCAGGCGGUCUCAAGGUCAUAAAACAGGCAAAGUAGUUAUCAGACAGACUUGGUCGACAAGGCAGGCUAGGAUCAGGCAGGAAUCGGUAACAGAGGUCAAAGCAAGGUCAGGAUCACGAAUCAGAGAAAGAACAAGAACGCUGGAUAGUGGUGAGUACACGCAACAAUGUGGCAAGUGACUGGUGUGUGAUCUGGAGCCUAAAUACUGGAGCUUGAUUACAUGAUUACUAGCAGGUGUGUCUGACGUGGACCAGUGAUUGGCAUGAGAGCAGCUGUGGUGGUUAAAACAGGAAGUCCUUCAAAAUAAAACCGGAACUGAGACCA
rnacentral:lncRNA from 1 species